CUUGAAGAUUCCCUGAAGCAUUGGGAAGCAGAACCCCUCUGUUCUGCCUGGGUGCAUUCACUUCCAGGAUACAGAGCCAUGCUUCUCAGCUCUCAUUCUGAUACUCUGACAUUCAGGAUCUUUGCUGCAAAAAGGGCUCGGCUUCCAUAAAGAAGUCAGGGAGUGCUCUUUCUGGCCCAAAUAAGUUUAACUAUCCUGAAGGAUAGGUGGCAGCUCAGUAUGGAGUUGCUAUUUUGUACACUGGUCUUUGUUUUUGCCUACACUUUGCUUUAGAUGCCUGCAUUCUUUAUUGGAUCUCACUCCUAAUUUUGUCUACAAAGUGCAGUAAAUUGGCUUACAGAAAUAUUGGAACUGGUUUCUCAGGAAGGUCUAAGUGGCAAUAAUUAUUUUUCCUCCUCGAACUGGCUGUUUGAGAUCUUCCCUUAAGAAUGAUUCUGUUCAGAGAAGUGUUUGAAAAAAAAUGGCAAUCGAACAAAUGUCUCAAAUCAACAAAAGAGAAUGUCAGCAACUAAGUGCCAGCUUUGCAGGAGAUAACAGAGUCGUGGGAGAGAUCCUAAUAAGAUUGAACAGUAGUGACUAA
rnacentral:lncRNA from 1 species